rnacentral:rRNA from 1 species
AGCUGGUUCUCCCCGAAAUAGCUUUAGGGCUAGCCUCAGGUAACACAUGGAGACGGUAGAGCACUGAUCGGGUAAGGGAGCGUAAAGCUUACCGAGCCUAGUCAAACUGCGAAUGGCUUCAUGAGAAGAGCCUGGGAGUCAGAAUGCGAGUGAUAAGACCCGUAUUCAAAAGGGAAACAGCCCAGACCGCCGACUAAGGUCCCGAAUGCUGUACUAAGUGGAAAAGGAUGUAGGACUUCCAAAACAACCAGGAUGUUGGCUCAGAAGCAGCCACCAUUCAAAGAGUGCGUAAUAGCUCACUGGUCGAGAGGCCCUGCGCCGAAAAUAUCCGGGGCUCAAGUACAGAACCGAAGUCGCGGCAUGCGCAAGCAUGGGUAGGGGAGCGUUCCAAGUUGGUUGAAGGCGGACCGGAAGGACAGCUGGACGACUUGGAAGUGAGAAUGCUGGUAUGAGUAGCGAAACGAUCCGUGAGAAUCGGAUCCACCGAAAGCCUAAGGGAUCCUGAGCAACGCUCGUCGACUCAGGGUAAGUCGGGACCUAAGCCGAGGCAUAAAGCAUAGGCGAUGGACAACAGGCGAAAAUUCCUGUACUGCAUGAUGUUGUUUGAGGAUGGAGUGACACAGCAAGGAGCUUGAGCGCGCGAUUGGAAAUGCGCGUCGAAGGCGGUAGGCUGAUGUAGAGGCAAAUCCCUGCAUCAAGGCCGAGAACUGAUAGAUAGGAGCGUACUUCGGUACAAUCCAAAUUCAAGCGUACUACACUGUCGAGAAAAGCUUCUAACGAGACAUCAUGUACCCGUACCAAAACCGACACAGGUAGGCGGGGAGAGAAUCCUAAGGUGCGCGGGAAAACCCUCGUUAAGGAACUCGGCAAAAUGCAUCCGUAACUUCGGGAGAAGGAUGGCCGGAGCUGGUGAAGACCUUGCGGUUGGAGCUGGAGCCGGCGGCAGAAGAGAAGCCCAAGCGACUGUUUACCACAAACACAGGUGCCUGCUAAAGAGAAAUCUGACGUAUAGGUGCUGACACCUGCCCGGUGCUGGAAGGUUAAGAGGAGAGGUUAUUCGCAAGAAGAAGCUUUGAAUUGAAGCCCCAGUAAACGGCGGCCGUAACUAUAACGGUCCUAAGGUAGCGAAAUUCCUUGUCGGGUAAGUUCCGACCCGCAUGAAAGGCGUAAUGAUUUGGGCACUGUCUCAACGAGGGGCCCGGUGAAAUUGAAAUACCUGUGAAGAUGCAGGUUACCCGCGACUGGACAGAAAGACCCCAUGGAGCUUUACUGCAGCCUGACAUUGAUUUUUGGCAUGUAACGUACAGGAUAGUUGGGAGACGGAGAAGAUAGGCCCCCAGGCUUAUCAGAGUCGCUGUUGGGAUACCAACCUUUAUGUGCUAGGGAUCUAACUCGAGAAGUAACGAAGCUCGAGGACAGUAUCAGGUGGGCAGUUUGACUGGGGCGGUCGCCUCCGAAAGAGUAACG